rnacentral:rRNA from 1 species
UACGUAGGGUGCGAGCGUUGCCCGGAUUUAUUGGGCGUAAAGGGCGCGUAGGCGGCCACGCACGUCCGUAGUGAAAUCGCCCGGCUCAACUGGGCGGGGUCGGCGGAUACGGCGUGGCUGGAGCAAGCUAGGGGGCAAUGGAAUUCCCGGUGUAGCAGUGAAAUGCGUAGAGAUCGUAAGGAAGACCAGUGGCGAAGGCGAGUUUCUGGACGGUAACUGACGCUGAGGCACGAAGGCCAGGGGAGCAAACGGG